rnacentral:siRNA from 1 species
CCAGCUUGGUCGAGUGGAUUGGU